GGGAAUAUUGCACAAUGGGCGCAAGCCUGAUGCAGCGACGCCGCGUGAGGGAUGACGGCCUUCGGGUUGUAAACCUCUUUCAGUAGGGAAGAAGCGAAAGUGACGGUACCUGCAGAAGAAGAGCCGGCUAACUACGUGCCAGCAGCCGCGGUAAUACGUAGGGCGCAAGCGUUAUCCGGAUUUAUUGGGCGUAAAGAGCUCGUAGGCGGUUUGUCGCGUCUAUCGUGAAAGUCCGAGGCUCAACCUCGGAUCUGCGGUGGGUACGGGCAGACUAGAGUGAUGUAGGGGAGACUGGAAUUCCUGGUGUAGCGGUGAAAUGCGCAGAUAUCAGGAGGAACACCGAUGGCGAAGGCAGGUCUCUGGGCAUUUACUGACGCUGAGGAGCGAAAGCAUGGGGAGCGAACAGA
rnacentral:rRNA from 1 species